UUAAAUAUCCAUACCACCCUGAAUGUACCCCAUCUCAUCCGGUCUAAGGCACUAACCAGUGUCAGUUUUGGUAAGUGAUUAGACAGAAGAAAUAUGUGUU
rnacentral:rRNA from 1 species